rnacentral:misc_RNA from 1 species
AGAAAUUUCAUACUAGUUUCUCAUUUUAUUCUAAGAUAAGUUUAGUCUCUUAGAUCUAUACUAUAGUAAAAGGGGCUUAAUAUAUCCAUUUUGUUUUGCAUUGUAUUUUGUUUUAGCACUUUCUUUCUUUUUUUUGCAUAUUUUAUUUUGCAAAAUGUAAAAUUUGAAUAUCACAUAACUUUUUUAAUUAUAUUAUAAAAAUAAAAGAAAGAUUCAUAUUAUCUAUAUUUUUCUU